GACGUAGGGCGCGAGCGUUGUCCGGAUUUAUUGGGCGUAAAGAGCUCGUAGGUGGUUUGUUACGUCUGCUGUGAAAACCUAGGGCUUAACCCUGGGCCUGCAGUGGAUACGGGCAGACUAGAGGUAGGUAGGGAGAAGUGGAAUUCCCGGUGGUAGCGGUGAAAUGACGCAGAUAUCGGGAGGAACACCGGUGGCGAAGGCGGUUCUCUGGGCCUUACCUGACACUGAGGAGCGAAAGCGUGGGGAGCGAACAGGAUUAGGAA
rnacentral:rRNA from 1 species